rnacentral:lncRNA from 1 species
CAAGUCUCCACUUCCUAAGGUUCCAUAAUCUCCCAAAACAAAUGCCACCAACUGGGGACCAGAUCUGUGUGACCUCUGAGGAAGAACGGGACGGCUUCAUCAGAGUCCUCAGUGGGAAGAAGAGAGGCCUCGUCCCAUUGGAUGUACUGGUAGACGUGUGACUGUAGCAGACCCUCCCAGUGCAGGAGGCCAGCGCUGCUGAUCUCUCUGUGUCCACCCAGAGGAGCAGCUGCACUGAUGGGUGCCCAGAAAACAGGGAGACUUGAAGAUUUGAGAGUGUGCUAGCAAUCUGGAAGCAGGCCAACUGCACAGCACACCAAGGCUGCCUGAGAGCAGCAUCCCAGAGCUGAGGGCUGCUAGCGGGAGUAGGUGGGCUGUAGCUAAGGCUGCCCCAGGACUCAGCUCCCUUCCUGCUCACCUGUGCAAGGCUGGAGUCUGCUCCAGGUCAUGGUGUGCUCCUGAUGAGAAGUUUGGAGCAGAGUAGCCAAGCGUUACUCUGGUUCUGGAUUACUGGUCCCCGUGCUGGCCAAUCAACCUCAUCACGACUCUUGCAAAGAAUCAAGAAAUCCAACCUCCCCGCUCCCAACACCCCAGGGCUCACUCCAGCUCCUGCUCAGUUUGUGUCUUGGCUGGCAGGACUAUCCUUUCUUUCUCUCCCAUUCUUCAAGCACAUCCUAGGCAGGGCCAAACCAGCAAGGUACCGAAUGCAAAGAUCUGACUUACCUACAGAUUUCGAAGGAGGGCAGCCUUGCUACUUCAGCGACUCGAAAGUGACAGGGCAAGGUCCAAGGCACAGAAUCAAGUUCUCCAGGGCAAUGGUUUCCGCUCCCACAGGUGUGAAGUGAAAAGGACAGGAAAUGCUUCUUUGUCUUUGUGCAGAGGAAGCUUGGGGCUUUGCUCACACCACCUGGGGAUAUUGCUCUCCACCUCUACCAAUGUUUACAAGAACAUACCACACUGCGAUGCCUUCCUCCCAGACCCUGUCCCAGCAUUCAGACCUGCUUCCUGGCAGUCACUGACAUGUCUAAAUGAUGUGACUUUGGGAUUCUUCGUUGCUUUGAUUUAUUUUGCCACUGAGCAAUAAAAUCAUUAGAACCAUCUC